CUGGACUGGCCGACGUACGGCCAUAAAUGUUCGAUAGAGUCUGGUUCACCGGGAAGUCUGGACCACCCUGCAAUAACCAUAUGAUCUAAAAACAUCUUUACAUGUCCUGUCAACGAGAAAACGAUACGUACUUCUGCUGAGCGUCGUUUAACGCUCGUUCGAUCUCUCGGCCAGGAAGUGUACAGCCAGGGUGGUGGCGAGGCCUGGGAGGCGCGCAAAUAAAUAGAACCGGUGAGACGCAAAGUCAAUUAUCGUUCAACGGGAGCUGAUGGAAGUUCCGUCAGCGCCGCGUACUGCGACCGCGUUAAACGAGCCAAACGGAAUUAUUCAUGACGAACUUUCGAUGCGCAGGAAGCGAAACUCCGUUAAACAGAGGAGACCGUGUAUAAACCAAGAGAGGGAUUUUCGCUGCUGUGCUGGACGAUAAGAAGGGAUUGUCUGAAAAAUAAAGGGAAGAUAGAUCGAUCCAUCCAUGGUGAAUGGAAA